rnacentral:tRNA from 1 species
CAGGAAGUAGUUUAUAAAAAAUAUUAAUUUUGGAGAUUAAUGAUGAAGCAAAGAUCCUUCUUGA